rnacentral:rRNA from 1 species
AAUAAAGUUUUCUUUAUUGGGGUUGCGGACAUAUCAUAACGAAGAGGUAUCGUAAUUGAAGAGGUUUGGAAAGACCCACCACAGAAGGUAAUAGUCCUGUAUGUUAAACGAGAAGACUUUAGAUAUGAUCCAGAGUACCACGGGACACGUGAAACCCUGUGGGAAGCAGGAGGGACCACCCUCCAAGGCUAAAUACUACCUAGUGACCGAUAGCGUAUAGUACCGUGAGGGAAAGGUGAAAAGAACCCCGGGAGGGGAGUGAAAUAGAACCUGAAACCCUGCACUUACAAGCUGUGGAAGCACAUUUCUUGUGUGACCGCGUACUUUUUGUAGAACGGGCCAACGAAUUACGGUAAGUAGCAAGGUUAAGCACUUAAGGUGCGGAGCCGUAGCGAAAGCGAGUAUUAACUGAGCGUUCAGUUACUGGACGUAGACCCGAAACCGGGCGACCUACCCAUGAGCAGGAUGAAGCGAAAGUAAAAUUUCGUGGAGGUCCGAACCCACGAGCGUUGAAAAGCUCGGGGAUGACUUGUGGGUAGCGGUGAAAUUCCAAUCGAGCCCGGAGAUAGCUGGUUCUCCCCGAAAUAGCUUUAGGGCUAGCAUCAAGGUGAGAGAUACGGAGGUAGAGCACUGAAUGUCCUAGGGGGUAUUGCACCUA